rnacentral:lncRNA from 1 species
CUCCCUUUUUUAUAAAUAUUUGUUUCUUCUUACUUGCACCCUUUGAUUUGGGUGUUGUAGACUUUGUAGGAUUUGAGACUCUUACUUAUUUGCACUUUUACCAUAGGUAAUAAUAAUUUCAUAAUCAAUUUUCUCCUUCUUAUCUUUAUCCUCCACAUCAACUACCUUCUCAGGAGGAGAAACUAUUUUGUCACCCUCAUUCUUUUUCUUUACAUUUAUUUUUAUAGUAGUAGAUCUUUUGCUUGAUUUUAAGGCAUCACUUAGCAAAUUUUUCUUAGCCUCUCUAGUACUGUAGGACCUAUGAAUUGGCUUCUCAAAAACCAGGUCCUUUCCUAAAUACCCCCUCUUCUCCACUCUACUUCAGGAAAGAUUUGUAUGUUCAUCCUUCUCCAUGCCAUCUUAGACAAGAGGAUGAACCAGUUAUUAGGCCACCCCUGAAGACAUAAAGGUUCCAUAAUAUUUAGGACUAGGGACUUUGAAGGAGAAUCUAUAUAGAGGGGAGAAAACCUCAAGGAUCUAAGGCCAAUAUUGUUAGAUUGUCAUCCACCCAAUUAGCCCUAGCCUCGACACUGCUACAAGGGUUUCCAUGCUCUUCAGGUAAAUCUCCUUGGAAAAAAAUUUCUUUCACAUCAAGAGGUUAAAUCAUUGCAAGGGGAACUACCCCUUUGAAACUUCAGGUUAGGUACUAGACUGAAGAGGAGGACUGGAUAAUGAGGCUUUAAGGUGUACAAUCACAAAAGAUAAAGACAAAGAUUUUUAUUUUGGAGAGGUUGUUUCAACUAUUUUUAAGUCAAUAGGUAGUGGAUAAGCAUGUGAAAUGAGCACUUCUUCACCGAUGGGUGAUUUGAAAGGGCCCUUAGUGACAAAAUUUUGGUGGACGAGUUUCUUCAUAAAAAGGGUUUUCAAAAGAAGGUUAGGGAUUUUUUGUAAAGGGUUCAAUGAGAGGAAUAUUUUCCUUAAAGGAGUCUUGAUCAGUGAGAAAGUAAGAGAUAUUUUUUGUUUUUG